rnacentral:misc_RNA from 1 species
GAUGAAGAACGUAGUGAAAUGCGAUACGUAAUGUGAAUUGCAGAAUUCAGUGAAUCAUCGAGUCUUUUAACGCACAUUGCGCCCUCUGGUAUUCCGGAGGGCAUGCCUGUCCGAGCGUCAUUGCUGCCCUCAAGCACGGCUUGUGUGUUGGGCUCCGUCCCCCGAUCCCGGGGGACGGGCCCGAAAGGCAGCGGCGGCACCGCGUCCGGUCCUCGAGCGUAUGGGGCUUUGUCACCCGCUCUGUAGGCCCGGCCGGCGCUUGCCGAUCAACCAAAUUUUUAUCCAGGUUGACCUCGGAUCAGGUAGGGAUACCCGCUGAACUUAAGCAUAUCAAUAAGCGGAGGA